AUUGAACGCUGGCGGCAGGCCUAACACAUGCAAGUCGAACGGCAGCACAGGAGAGCUUGCUCUCUGGGUGGCGAGUGGCGGACGGGUGAGGAAUACAUCGGAAUCUACCUUGUCGUGGGGGAUAACGUAGGGAAACUUACGCUAAUACCGCAUACGACCUUCGGGUGAAAGUGGGGGACCGCAAGGCCUCACGCGAUUAGAUGAGCCGAUGUCGGAUUAGCUAGUUGGCGGGGUAAAAGCCCACCAAGGCGACGAUCCGUAGCUGGUCUGAGAGGAUGAUCAGCCACACUGGAACUGAGACACGGUCCAGACUCCUACGGGAGGCAGCAGUGGGGAAUAUUGGACAAUGGGCGCAAGCCUGAUCCAGCCAUACCGCGUGGGUGAAGAAGGCCUUCGGGUUGUAAAGCCCUUUUGUUGGGAAAGAAAUCUUGCCGGUUAAUACCUGGCGAGGAUGACGGUACCCAAAGAAUAAGCACCGGCUAACUUCGUGCCAGCCGCCGCCGUAAUAC
rnacentral:rRNA from 1 species